UGGUUCGCCUACCGGUGCCCCGCAGCGACUCUAAACAAGUGCCCAGUCGGCGACUCGCUCGCUGGCAACGCCACCAAUCUGCGCUGGGAGCGCCCGAACGCGGGCGUGACCAGCAGCUCCUCCGGGAGUUCACAGGUCAAACGGUUGCGGCCACCCCCGGGGGUGGUUUUGAUAUGAUCGGCCCCAGCCGUCCCCCACGGCCGGCGAAAUUUGCGGAACCUGCGGAAGGAUCAUUACCGAGAGGGGGGCUCACGCGCCCCAGGGGUUCCGCCCCGCACCUUUCUAUCCUUUGUGUAUCUUCCACUGUUGCUUUGGCGGGCCCCGGGGUUCACGUCCCGGCGCUGGCCCCUACGCAGGGUCUGCGAGUGCCCGCCGAAGGCCCAUCAAAAUUCUGUUUAUUAGUGCGGUCUGAGUAUACGAAAACUAAUCAAAACUUUCAACAACGGAUCUCUUGGUUCUGGCAUCGAUGAAGAACGCAGCGAAAUGCGAUAAGUAAUGUGAAUUGCAGAAUUCAGUGAAUCAUCGAAUCUUUGAACGCACAUUGCGCCCUCUGGUAUUCCGGAGGGCAUGCCUGUUCGAGCGUCAUUACAUCCCUCAAGCGCUGCUUGGUAUUGGGUGGUCGUCCUCCGUUCCGGGGGGCGCGCCCGAAAUUCAGUGGCGGUCUCGGUGGACUUCAAGCGCAGCAAAUAUUCCGCUUUGGAAGCUUUCACCGGUGGUCCUGCCAGCAAACCAUUUUUUACCCCCAAAAUUGACCUCGGAUCAGGUAGGGAUACCCGCUGA
rnacentral:rRNA from 1 species